GUGGGGAAUUUUGGACAAUGGGCGCAAGCCUGAUCCAGCAAUGCCGCGUGCAGGAAGAAGGCCUUCGGGUUGUAAACUGCUUUUGUACGGAACGAAACGGUCCUGGCUAAUACCUGGGGCUAAUGACGGUACCGUAAGAAUAAGCACCGGCUAACUACGUGCCAGCAGCCGCGGUAAUACGUAGGGUGCGAGCGUUAAUCGGAAUUACUGGGCGUAAAGCGUGCGCAGGCGGUGCUGUAAGACAGGCGUGAAAUCCCCGGGCUCAACCUGGGAAUUGCGCUUGUGACUGCAGUGCUGGAGUGCGGCAGAGGGGGAUGGAAUUCCGCGUGUAGCAGUGAAAUGCGUAGAUAUGCGGAGGAACACCGAUGGCGAAGGCAAUCCCCUGGGCCUGCACUGACGCUCAUGCACGAAAGCGUGGGGAGCAAACAGGAUUAGAAACCCCUGUAGUCC
rnacentral:rRNA from 1 species